rnacentral:rRNA from 1 species
UUAAAUUGAAGAGUUUGAUCAUGGCUCAGAUUGAACGCUGGCGGCAGGCCUAACACAUGCAAGUCGAACGGUAACAGGAAGCAGCUUGCUGUUUUGCUGACGAGUGGCGGACGGGUGAGUAAUGUCUGGGAAACUGCCUGAUGGAGGGGGAUAACUACUGGAAACGGUAGCUAAUACCGCAUA